rnacentral:lncRNA from 1 species
GAAAACAACGAUUUGGCACGCCGCUGCAAAACUUUUUACACUAAAUAAAAAAAUACCAUGUCGUUAAAUUAACAAAAAAAAAGAAAUUAAAAAUCAACUUGUAAUAGAGGUAUUUUCUUUUUAUAAUAUCUAUGGAUCAAAAUUAAAUCCAUUACUCUGAUAUGCGUUUUCUGUGUAAGUUUUAUUUCCUUUAUUUUCUUUGAAAGCAUUAAAUGUAUAUGUUAUCAUUAUCUGUCGUCUCAAGUUUUUCUUUCAUGGGUUUCAUGAGCAGUAAUGAGGCCUUUGAAAAUGCAUGUAUGGAAUUUGACGAAGUGAAUUUAAAGCCAACUUACAAGGUUCUCUGGGGAAUACCUGGUAAGCACUCUAACUCGUGAAUAAUAUAGUAAUGAUCACAAGGUUAUUGAUGUACUUUUUCUUGCUUUUAAAUUUUAUGUUUUUGCUACACUGUCUUUUGAUUGUCCCUCCGGUAUCUGCUGGUGUGUGCAUCCUUUUUUUUUAAGCAAAGAUUGGUAUGACGUGAGAUCUCUACUAGGCUGACACCUUAGUUAACACCGAUCUUUUUCAGCAUAUUAAUUGCCAAGGGAAGAUUCUAAAAGAGUUGAAUGCCAAGAUAACUAAUCGAGAAUCACACUCCAACGAGAGCUUGUGCCAACCAUUUUUGUAAGCCUCAAUAAGCUCAGCAUGAAGGGUGUCCAAUUUUAUAUUGGGCUUAACUCAU